rnacentral:rRNA from 1 species
CGCGAAACCUUUACACUGCACGACAGUGCGAUAAGGGGACCCCGAGUGCGAGGGCAUACAGUCCUCGCUUUUGUGUACCGUAGGGAGGUACACGAAUAAGAGCUGGGCAAGACCGGUGCCAGCCGCCGCGGUAAUACCGGCAGCUCAAGUGAUGGCCGCUAUUAUUGGGCCUAAAGCGUCCGUAGCCGGCCGCACAAGUCCGUCGGGAAAUCCACCCGCCUAACGGGUGGGCGUCCGGCGGAAACUGUGCGGCUUGGGACCGGAAGACUCGAGGGGUACGUCCGGGGUAGGAGUGAAAUCCCGUAAUCCUGGACGGACCGCCGGUGGCGAAAGCGCCUCGAGAGGACGGAUCCGACGGUGAGGGACGAAAGCUAGGGUCUCGAACCGGAUUAGAUACCCGGGUAGUCCUAGCCGUAAACGAUGCUCGCUAGGUGUGACGCAGGCUACGAGCCUGCGCUGUGCCGUAGGGAAGCCGUGAAGCGAGCCGCCUGGGAAGUACGUCCGCAAGGAUGAAACUUAAAGGAAUUGGCGGGGGAGCACUACAACC